UAUCGCUGCCCUCCUUGGGCGUUUCCUCCCUAGACUUGGGCCGCUUGUUUUGACGAGCGGCCCUUUUUCUUUUCCGU
rnacentral:sRNA from 1 species